rnacentral:rRNA from 1 species
GAUGAACGCUAGCGGCAGGCUUAACACAUGCAAGUCGGAGGGGUAACAGAAGUAGCUUGCUAUUGCUGACGACCGGCGCACGGGUGCGUAACGCGUAUAGAAUCUACCUCUUACUAAAGGAUAGCCCAGAGAAAUUUGGAUUAAUACUUUAUAGUAUAUAUGAAUGGCAUCAUUUAUAUAUUAAAGGUUACGGUAAGAGAUGACUAUGCGCCCUAUUAGUUUGUUGGUGUGGUAACGGCACACCAAGACUACGAUAGGUAGGGGCCCUGAGAGGGGGAUCCCCCACACUGGGACUGAGACACGGCCCAG